ensembl:lncRNA
GUUUCUCCCUCCCUGAUGACAGCUGGGCCUGAGACAGAUGUAAACCCUGACCCUGCCCGGCACCCCAGGUUUCUCCCUCCCUGAUGACAGCUGGGCCUGAGACAGAUGUAAACCCUGACCCUUCCCUACACCCCAGGUUUCUCCCUCCCUGAUGACAGCUGGGCCUGAGACAGAUGUAAACCCUGACCCUGAACGGCACCCCAGGUUUCUCCCUCCCUGUUGACAGCUGGGCCUGAGACAGAUGUAAACCCUGACCCUGACCGGCACCCCAGGUUUCUCCCUCCCUGUUGACAGCUGGGCCUGAGACAGAUGUAAACCCUGACCCUGCCCUACACCCCAGGUUUCUCCCUCCCUGAUGACAGCUGGGCCUGAGACAGAUGUAAACUCUGACCCUGCCCUACACCCCAGGUUUCUC